AUUGAACGCUGGCGGCAUGCCUUACACAUGCAAGUCGAACGAGUGGCGGAAGGGUGAGUAAUGGCUGGGAAACUGACUGAUGGAGGGGGAUACCUACUGGAAACGGUAGAUAAUAACGCAUACCAUCGGAUGUGCCCAGAUGGGAUUAGCUGGUAGGUGGGGUAAAGGCUCACCUAGGCGACGAUCCAUAGCCUGUCUGAGAGGAUGACCAGCCACACUGGAACUUAGACACGGUCCAGACUCCUACGGGAGGCAGCAGUGGGGAAUAUUGCACAAUGGGCGCAAGCCUGAUGCAGCCAGCCCGCGUGGAUGAAGAAGGCCUUCGGGUUGUAAAGUACUUUCAGCGGGGAGGCGUUACCCGCAGAAGAAGCACCGGCUAACUCCGUGCCAGCAGCCGCGGUAAUUC
rnacentral:rRNA from 1 species